GACGAACGCUGGCGGCGUGCCUAACACAUGCAAGUCGAACGGAGAAAUUCAGCAAUGGAUUUCUUAGUGGCGAACGGGUGAGUAACGCGUAGAUAACCUGCCUCUAAGCUGGGGACAACAACUCGAAAGGGUUGCUAAUACCGAAUGUGAACAGUGCCUCGCAUGAGAUGCUGUUUGAAGGUGGCCUCUGAAUAUGCUACCGCUUAGAGAUGGGUCUGCGUCUGAUUAGCUAGUUGGAGGGGUAACGGCCCACCAAGGCGACGAUCAGUAGCCGGGCUGAGAGGAUGAACGGCCACACUGGGACUGAGACACGGCCCAGACUCCUACGGGAGGCAGCAGUGGGGAAUCUUCCGCAAUGGACGAAAGUCUGACGGAGCAACACCGCGUGAGUGAUGAAGGUCUUCGGAUCGUAAAACUCUGUUGUUAGGGAAGAACAAAUUUGUUAGUAACUGAACAAGUCUUGACGGUACCUAACCAGAAAGCCACGGCUAGCUACGUGCCAGCCGCCGCAGUAA
rnacentral:rRNA from 1 species